rnacentral:rRNA from 1 species
GACGAACCGUGCGAACGUUAUUCGGAAUCACUGGGCUUAAAGCGCGCGUAGGCAGGUGGGAGCGUCGGCCACUGAAAGCCCCCGGCUCAACCGGGGAAGGGGUGCCGAGACGUCCCGCCUGGAGGGGCGUAGGGGGAUCCGGAACUUCCGGUGGAGCGGUGAAAUGCGCAGAUAUCAGGAGGAACACCAAUAGCGAAGGCAGCUCGCUGGGACGUUACUGACACUAAGGCGCGAAAGCGUGGGGAGCGAACAGG